CAUUAUGCAUAUCCGGGAUACCAAGAGGGUCCCUGAAUCCAUCUCCUCACUGUGUACCAAUCCAUGUUGCUUUCCCAGGUCCGCCUGGGAGAGGUCCAACCCAACACCAAUAAUUGAGUCCGCAGUCUGAGUAGGCCUAGCGCCUUGAAUGUUUGAACAAGUUAAAACUUUCAACAACGGAUCUCUUGGCUCUCGCAUCGAUGAAGAACGCAGCGAAAUGCGAUAAGUAAUGUGAAUUGCAGAAUUCAGUGAAUCAUCGAAUCUUUGAACGCACAUUGCGCCUCUUGGUAUUCCUUGAGGCAUGCCUGUUCGAGCGUCACUACAAACCCUCUCAUAGUUAUUAUGGUAUUGAUGGAAGUGAAACUGUGUCUAUUCAUGUACUCACACCACUCCAUUGAAAUGAAUAGGCAGGACAAGUGACAACUGCAAUGGACUUAGUAAAUGGUUUUCAGACAUGGACCAGUUCUUUGCUAUGUUGUACAGCCUGUAUCCAUGGACUCCCAUCCAGUAAGCACCUUGGGUUGACCUCGAAUCAGGUAGGGAUACCCGCUGAACUUAAGCAUAUCAAUAAGCGGAGGAAAAGAAACCAACAGGGAUUGCCCCAGUAACGGCGAGUGAAGCGGCAAAAGCUCAAAUUUGAAAUCUGGCACCCCUGGUGUCCGAGUUGUAAUUUGGAGAGGCAUCUUCCGGAGGGACCCAGCCUAUGUUCCUUGGAACAGGACAUCACAGAGGGUGAGAAUCCCGUUCAUGGCUGGAUGUAUCCUCCAGUGGGUAGUGCCUUCUACGAGUCGAGUUGUUUGGGAAUGCAGCUCAAAAUGGGUGGUAAAUUUCAUCUAAAGCUAAAUAUUGGCGAGAGACCGAUAGCGCACAAGUAGAGUGAUCGAAAGAUGAAAAGCACUUUGAAAAUAGAGUCAAACAGUACGUGAAAUUGUUGAAAGGGAAGCGCUUGAGACCAGACUCAGCCUUCGGCAAACAAUUGUCCUUCUGGACGGUGCACUUGCCCUUGGCUGGGCCAGCAUCAGUUAGGACGGUGGAAUAAAGGCUCGAGGAAUGUGACUCCACUACGGAGUGUUAUAGCCUCGAGUGCCAUACUACCUGUCUUGACUGUGGACCGCGCCUUGGCUAGGAUGCUGGCAUAAUGGUCUUUAGCGGCCCGUCUUGAAACACGGACCAAGGAGUCUAACAUCUAUGCAAGUGUUUGGGCUGUAGACCCUCACGCGUAAUGAAAGUGAACGGAGGUGGGAACCCCGCAAGGGGUGCACCAUCGACCGAUCCUGAUGUCUUCGGAUGGAUUUGAGUAGGAGCAUAGCUGUUGGGACCCGAAAGAUGGUGAACUAUGCCUGAAUAGGGUGAAGCCAGAGGAAACUCUGGUGGAGGCUCGCAGCGGUUCUGACGUGCAAAUCGAUCGUCAAAUUUGGGUAUAGGGGCGAAAGA
rnacentral:rRNA from 1 species